rnacentral:lncRNA from 1 species
CAUAAUCUCUUAUUAUUUAUCACAAUGAGCAUACAUAUAGUUGAUGAGGUUUUUCUACUGUUACUAAAUGGCUGUAACAUUUGUAGCCUCACUCGACCUUACCCUGUAUGGAUCUCACUGCGAAAGGGUAGAUCUUGUUAGCAACACCAACAUAGCAAGGAAAAAUAAACGACCAAUACAAAAAAUGCCAGUCGAUGCCAUCUUAGCGGCAUCUCCACUAUCGAUUAACUCCCCAAAUGCAGUCCAGGUACAAUCGCACGACACAACCAAAGGGGCAAUUCUUAAUCUCUAAUGUCUGGAGGUACUCUUCACUGGUUUUAAUUGUCUUUCUACUCAUUUUAGUAAAGAUUGUUCCACAGGAAAUAUCGCAGACCGCGACACCUGACCAUAACAUGCCAGAUACGGUUCAUGAUGAUGGGGAACAUACAGGACCUCAUCAACAGAAAGAAGGUGCAUUCUAAACGCGCGGAGAAGAGCAACUUGUAAGGAGCAAAAAGAAAAGGAAAGUACAUCACUCCCAGCCUGACGGACAAACGUAUUUAUGAACAUGAUGCAUUGAUGGGACGGUUAAAAAUCACAGAAGGUAAAUGUGUCCCCAAUUUUGUCUGAUUACAUACUUGAUAAAUCGCUUCUUCUUAAAGUUGUUACUGCUGCUGCUGAUGGAUCCACUUAAUGAAUUAAACUAACCAUUUGUUUUGGAUUGUACAUGAGCUACAAUUGUGGUACAUCUACUAAUAUAUUUUCUGGUAGUUUUGUUUGUAUGUGAACGUUUUAUACAUGCCAUAUACUAUGAAAGAAUAGUAUGUACAUGCUGUAUAUUUGUUUGUGUCACAGACUUUCAUGUCUUAGUCUGAUCCUAUCAUUCUCCCUAUAUCUCGUUCAAAGACAUCCAUAUGAACCUAUAUGUCGUGGAAGUGCAUAUGUACUUCUCAAUUGUUAUAGAGAACGAAAACUGGGUGGCAUGUGUUAUCAGAAGUUAUGUAUAAUCAUUUAGGGAAAUAUCAAAAUUUAAAAAUCCCAUGAGUUGGGAAUAGGGAAAUUCAAGUAGGUAGGAAGUACUGACAUACCAAGUAAUAAUAAAGAAUAGCACCCUGUAGCUACAAAAUCGCAAUCAUUUGUUCAAAGAUCUAAACUCAAUUCACCCUGAAAAAUAAUUACUCAUCUUAAUUAAGUCAGACUGCAUGAUAGUCGGAUGGGACAAAAGCAAUUGACUGUCAAGGAACAUACCCGUCUGCACCUGCCUGCACCCGGC